UACGUAGGGUGCGAGCGUUGUCCGGAAUUAUUGGGCGUAAAGAGCGCGUAGGCGGUCCGAUAAGUCGGCUGUGAAAGUCCAGGGCUCAACCCUGGAAAGCCGGCCGAUACUGUCGGACUAGAGUCCGGAAGAGGCAAGUGGAAUUCCUGGUGUAGCGGUGAAAUGCGCAGAUAUCAGGAGGAACACCGGUGGCGAAGGCGGGUCUCUGGGCCGAUACUGACGCUGAGGAGCGAAAGCGUGGGGAGCGAACAGG
rnacentral:rRNA from 1 species